AGAGUUUGAUCCUGGCUCAGGACGAACGCUGGCGGCGUGCCUAAUACAUGCAAGUAGAACGCUGAAGAGAGGAGCUUGCUCUUCUUGGAUGAGUUGCGAACGGGUGAGUAACGCGUAGGUAACCUGCCUUGUAGCGGGGGAUAACUAUUGGAAACGAUAGCUAAUACCGCAUAACAAUGGAUGACACAUGUCAUUUAUUUGAAAGGGGCAAUUGCUCCACUACAAGAUGGACCUGCGUUGUAUUAGCUAGUAGGUGAGGUAACGGCUCACCUAGGCGACGAUACAUAGCCGACCUGAGAGGGUGAUCGGCCACACUGGGACUGAGACACGGCCCAGACUCCUACGGGAGGCAGCAGUAGGGAAUCUUCGGCAAUGGGGGCAACCCUGACCGAGCAACGCCGCGUGAGUGAAGAAGGUUUUCGGAUCGUAAAGCUCUGUUGUAAGUCAAGAACGAGUGUGAGAGUGGAAAGUUCACACUGUGACGGUAGCUUACCAGAAGGGGACGGCUAACUACGUGCCAGCAGCCGCGGUAAUACGUAGGUCCCGAGCGUUGUCCGGAUUUAUUGGGCGUAAAGCGAGCGCAGGCGGUUUGAUAAGUCUGAAGUUAAAGGCUGUGGCUCAACCAUAGUUCGCUUUGGAAACUGUCAAACUUGAGUGCAGAAGGGGAGAGUGGAAUUCCACGUGUAGCGGUGAAAUGCGUAGAUAUAUGGAGGAACACCGGUGGCGAAAGCGGCUCUCUGGUCUGUAACUGACGCUGAGGCUCGAAAGCGUGGGGAGCGAACAGGAUUAGAUACCCUGGUAGUCCACGCCGUAAACGAUGAGUGCUAGGUGUUGGAUCCUUUCCGGGAUUCAGUGCCGCAGCUAACGCAUUAAGCACUCCGCCUGGGGAGUACGACCGCAAGGUUGAAACUCAAAGGAAUUGACGGGGGCCCGCACAAGCGGUGGAGCAUGUGGUUUAAUUCGAAGCAACGCGAAGAACCUUACCAGGUCUUGACAUCCCGAUGCUAUUUCUAGAGAUAGAAAGUUACUUCGGUACAUCGGUGACAGGUGGUGCAUGGUUGUCGUCAGCUCGUGUCGUGAGAUGUUGGGUUAAGUCCCGCAACGAGCGCAACCCCUAUUGUUAGUUGCCAUCAUUCAGUUGGGCACUCUAGCGAGACUGCCGGUAAUAAACCGGAGGAAGGUGGGGAUGACGUCAAAUCAUCAUGCCCCUUAUGACCUGGGCUACACACGUGCUACAAUGGUUGGUACAACGAGUUGCGAGUCGGUGACGGCAAGCUAAUCUCUUAAAGCCAAUCUCAGUUCGGAUUGUAGGCUGCAACUCGCCUACAUGAAGUCGGAAUCGCUAGUAAUCGCGGAUCAGCACGCCGCGGUGAAUACGUUCCCGGGCCUUGUACACACCGCCCGUCACACCACGAGAGUUUGUAACACCCGAAGUCGGUGAGGUAACCUUUUGGAGCCAGCCGCCUAAGGUGGGAUAGAUGAUUGGGGUGAAGUCGUAACAAGGUA
rnacentral:rRNA from 1 species